AUUGAACGCUGGCGGCAGGCCUAACACAUGCAAGUCGAGCGUGAAAGUCCUUCGGGAUGAGUAAAGCGGCGGACGGGUGAGUAACGCGUAGGAAUCUACCUGGUAGGGGGGGAUAACGUUCCGAAAGGGACGCUAAUACCGCAUACGUUCUGCGGAAGAAAGCAGGGGACCUUCGGGCCUUGCGCUAUCAGAUGAGCCUGCGUCCGAUUAGCUAGUUGGUGGGGUAAAGGCCUACCAAGGCGACGAUCGGUAACUGGUCUGAGAGGAUGAUCAGUCACAGGGGAACUGAGACACGGCCCAGACUCCUACGGGAGGUAGCAGUGGGGAAUUUUGGACAAUGGGCGAAAGCCUGAUCCAGCAAUGCCGCGUGCAGGAUGAAGGCCUUCGGGUUGUAAACUGCUUUUGUACGGAACGAAAAGCUUCGGGUUAAUACCCUGGAGUCAUGACGGUACCGUAAGAAUAAGCACCGGCUAACUACGUGCCAGCAGCCGCCGCAGUAA
rnacentral:rRNA from 1 species